rnacentral:tRNA from 1 species
UGCGGAGCGGUCUGUUGGCAGGCCAGUGGGCCUUUGACCCCCACGUCCGUAGGUUCGAUUCCUGCCUCCGCAGC